GGGGGCGACAGGCUUCGACAGGGGCUUGUAUAGAUCUUUGAGUGCACGUCGGGCUUGCUUGGGUUAGCUCGUUAAAAAAACCUUAGCGAAAAACAAAUGCUAAUCAAGAAUUAGCUCUUGCUGCUUAGUUAACUCUAAACCAGAAGUGUCUUACGGGAAGUCAGCCUGAUGCGACCCGCUAAGGCAUAACUCAGUUCAGGCUCGGAUGCGUUCUCCACCUGCGGACGCAACUUAAAUUUAGCCGGGUUAGCUUGAGAGAAGGUCUUGUCUGUUCAUCUGCUUUUCUCGAGUGAAACUUAAGUGAAUAGACUAAACGUGUAGAUCUCACUGGUCGCAACCUUUGGAUGCGGGUUCGAUUCCCGCCGCCUCCACCA
rnacentral:tmRNA from 1 species